AACGAACGCUGGCGGCAGGCCUAACACAUGCAAGUCGAACGCUGUAGCAAUACAGAGUGGCAGACGGGUGAGUAACGCGUGGGAACCUUCCCAGUGGUGCGGAAUAGCUCAGGGAAACUUGAGGUAAUACCGCAUAAGCCCUUAGGGGGAAAGAUUUAUCGCCAUUGGAUGGGCCCGCGUCGGAUUAGCUAGUUGGUGAGGUAAUGGCUCACCAAGGCAACGAUCCGUAGCUGGUUUGAGAGAAUGACCAGCCACACUGGGACUGAGACACGGCCCAGACUCCUACGGGAGGCAGCAGUGGGGAAUCUUGGACAAUGGGCGCAAGCCUGAUCCAGCCAUGCCGCGUGAGUGACGAAGGCCUUAGGGUUGUAAAGCUCUUUUGCCGGGGACGAUAAUGACGGUACCCGGAGAAUAAGUCCCGGCUAACUUCG
rnacentral:rRNA from 1 species